AUUUGUGUGAGGAGUGCUGAACGCCUCUACAGGGUCGAAACAAGGACAGACUCCUGUAUGUGUUCCUCU
rnacentral:ncRNA from 2 species